rnacentral:lncRNA from 1 species
GAAGUUCUAUAGAAUAUUACUACAUAGCUCAUAGUUAGAGAGUAUAUAUGGAGGUAAGAGUGAAGCCUUCUUCACUCUUGUCAAUGCCUUUCUAGUUUUUAAUCUUGUUUCAAGACUUUCUAAUCUUCUUAUUUUUGGCUAUAGCCAUUUUAGUUCAAUUUUAUAUUCUCUUUGAGUAACUUUCUAAUUCCUUUCAGUGAUAUAUGAAUAUGUUGAGGAUUUUCUUUCUUUGAGAUUCAUGUCUUUAACACAUUCACUUGUAAUGCUUUAUUUUCU